GACGAACGCUGGCGGCGUGCUUAACACAUGCAAGUCGAACGGAAAGGCCCUGCUUUUGUGGGGUGCUCGAGUGGCGAACGGGUGAGUAACACGUGAGUAACCUGCCCUUGACUUUGGGAUAACUUCAGGAAACUGUGGCUAAUACCGGAUAGUAGCUCCUGCUGCAUGGUGGGGGUUGGAAAGUUUCGGCGGUUGGGGAUGGACUCGCGGCUUAUCAGCUUGUUGGUGGGGUAGUGGCUUACCAAGGCUUUGACGGGUAGCCGGCCUGAGAGGGUGACCGGCCACAUUGGGACUGAGAUACGGCCCAGACUCCUACGGGAGGCAGCAGUGGGGAAUAUUGCACAAUGGGCGGAAGCCUGAUGCAGCAACGCCGCGUGCGGGAUGACGGCCUUCGGGUUGUAAACCGCUUUCGCCUGUGACGAAGCGUGAGUGACGGUAAUGGGUAAAGAAGCACCGGCUAACUACGUG
rnacentral:rRNA from 1 species